UUCUGAGUUUAAUCCUCAGGUCAGACACAAAUUCUUUUUUUUAAGCACUUUUAUAUGCCUUACUUAUUUUUAUUGUAUGUACAUUGGUAUUUUCCUGGCAUGCAUAUCUGUAUGAUGGUGUUGGGUCCCUUGCAACUUGAGUCAGUCGCGAGCUGCCAUGUGGAUGCUGGGAAUUGAACCUGGGUCCUUGGGAAGAACGACCAGUGCUUUUAGCCUCUGAAGUAUCUCUCGAGCCCCAACACAAAUUCUUAAUCUGUGAGAGUGUACAUAACUAUUUUUUUUCUUUUGGAUUUUUCGAGACAGGGUUUCUCUGUAUAGCCCUGGCUGUCCUGGAACUCACUUUGUAGACCAGGCUGGCUUCGAACUCAGAAAUCCACCUCCCUCUGCCUCCCGAGUGCUGGGAUUAAAGGUGUGUGCCACCACUGCCACUCCUGUUGUCCAUUCCCUGUCUGCUUUCAGGCAUUUUCAUUUUCUCAUAACCUAGACCUGCUCAGCAGUAGUGUCACAUACUCUCCAUGUGGCAUCUGUAUAUACGAUUGUAUAUGCUCGUUCAUGCUUUAUGCUUCUAAUGACUGACUGUUUUGCCUUAGUCUGUGUUACAUUUUUAUUUAGGCCUGUUUUCUUCCUGCUUCUGAAGCACUCAUUUCUGGCUGCUAUGGAAACCAUACAGGCUACAUCCUCAGGGGACAAGCCCUCCUUAAGAUGAGCUGGUUGUGACCCUUCUUGCUCACCCUUCCCUAUGGUCUAGCUCUUGUCAGACCCUUUGCUUCCUUUUCCAGAAGAUUUGAAUGGAAGCUGUGCCCCUAGCCAGAGAUGCUAAGCCUCCUUCCCUCCUGUUUCCUUCAGAACAUACCAAAGGGAAUUUUUUUUCUUCUAAAUAUUUUAUGUAUAUGGGUGUUUUGUUUACAUGUGUAUCUGUGCCCCACAGAGGCCAUAAGAGGGCCUUGGAUCCCUAUAACUAAUUAGACUGUUUUAAGUUACUGUGUGGGUGCUGGGAUUCGAGCUCGGUUCUCUGCAAGAACAGCAAGGACCUUUAACUGUUGAGCCAUCUUUCCAGCUCUCAAAGGAGAUUUGACUUGUUUUAAACCCUUAUUUCAUUGAAAAUAAGUUCUUCUGUCGGGCAUCUUCGGGCUUAAUACCCCUGGCACUGUGUGAGUACAGAGACAAGAGGAUUUACAAUUGAAUCCUACCCAAUUGCUAGAAAGCUACUAUCUACAUCUAAGCAGGGUCUGAUGCAAUCUUUAGGAAGGACCCUAGCUCCUCCAAAUUCUCAUCAUGUCUUCUGUCUAGUUUUGAGACCCCAAGCUCUUCUUGCUGAACACAGUUAGUACUUAACUGGAUACAUUUGUAACACACUUCUGGUUCAACUUUUACUUCCCAUAGAACCCUUUAGUUCUGGUAACACAUUCCAGUAAUGAUUUCUUCAUUCCCAGUUGCUUUGUAAACUGCAUUAUAAUGGAUCCAUUUAAGGAAAAUGAUCUCUUAAAUAAAACCCCAAUUUCUUUCAUACUUCAUGCAUCCUGAAAAUAUUUGUCCAACAACCAUUUGAUUCAGAUGCUUGGGCUUAAGGCUCCUCCUGUUCCUAAGCGUUCCAUUUCUGGUGAUGGAGGCCAUAGAUAAAUGAGUCAGUAAGGUAAGCACUGUUAGAAUAGUGACUGUUAAACAUGUACUAGAGAGGCCGACUGCCAGAAGGGCAGCACGGCAUCUUUGAGGUGUACUGGGCUCAUUAAAGGAUAGCUAGGAUUCUGCUCCUUGAAGAUUUGAAGUCAUUUAAGUCAGAUGGAACACUGCAAAACUAUAGAAAUGCAAAAAGUAGACACCUAAUCUGCAAGAGGAAUUCUCUUUGUAGAAACAUUUCAUCUAGUAAAUGAAGUAGUUUGAAAAAAAAAAUGUCAUCAAUGUGGAAUCCCUAAUACCUAGGUCUUUCAGGCAUUGAGCAUCAAUGGUUGAUAUCACAAAAAUAAAGAAAUACCACCCACGAAGUUUAAAAACUCUGGUAGAGGGUAUGGCUCAGUGGUAGACUUCUCGUCUCACAUGUAGGGAGUCCUUUGUUCAGUUCCCAAGCACAGCAAAGAAAGAAUUUAGUUUUGAGUCUGAUCAAGCCUUUGGAUUCAACUAGUAUUUAAACAGGGGAAAGGCAGGGGAAAUACUGAACUAUAUUAUCAAGAUGACCCAAUUCUUUGAUAAAUUAGUUACAAUAAGAAAAGAGUGUAGGAAGGACAAUAUUGUAGUCUCAAUGCAUGCUUACGAACCCAGCCCUUGGGAGGGAGGAUCAGGAGUUAACAGGUCUUCUUAGCUACAAAUGGAGUUCUAGGCCAUCUUAGGUUACACGAGACUGUGGUCCAGUCAUGCCCUCCCCUCACACAAGCAUACUCUGUGAGAUAAUUGGACAUUUCAACAUAGAAUGCUUGUUACAAAGGGAUGAUCAUGUUUUAAGUGUGAGUUUGGGGAAAAUACAAAAUCUCGAGACAUGGUUUCUCUGUGUAGCCUUGGCUGUCCUGGAACUCACUCUGUAGACCAGGCUGGCCUCGAACUCAGAAAUCUGCCUGCCUCUGCCUCCCAAGUGCUGGCAUUAAAGACGUGUGCCACCACUGCCCGGCUGAGACAGGAUCUUUUACGUUUUGGCCUUAAUUUAUGUUUUUUUUUUUUUUUACAUUAAAAAAAUAAUCUACUUAUUUUAUGUGCAUUGUUGUGUUGUUUUCCCUGCAUCCUGUGUGAGAAUGUCUGUUCCCCUGGAGCUUAGGUUACAGACAGUUGUGAACGGCUAUGUGGGUGCUUGGAAUUGACCGUGGUCUUCUGGAAGAGCAGUCAGGGCUCUUAACCACUGAGCCUUCUUUCCAACCUGUUUGGUUGGUUUUGAGAUUUAGGACGAUAAGAUUUCAAAACAAAAAGAAAACCCAGUCUGGCCUUUAUCUUAUUCUGUAGCUGAGGGUAACUUUAAAUUCCUGAUACUCCUGGCUUUGCAUAUAAAUAUUGGGAUCAUAAGCAUAUGCCACCAUUGAGGUCUCUUGCUAAAUAUUGCAGGCUGGACCUGAACUUAAGAACUGCCUGACUUUGUCCAUCAAGUGCUAGGAUUAGCUAUGUGUGGCACCACGCCUGUGUAUAAUUGUAGCCUUACAGUUAGAGCAGUGUGUUGGAAUGAAUGCUUCAUGGUUGAAAAGCCACGACCGGGAAAUCUGCUUUCAAGUACUGAGGUGGCACGGUGGAUGGGGUGUAAAUGAAAUGAGACUAGCCAUGAAUAGUCAUUAAGGCUGUUAGAUGUGUGGAACCGAGGUGCAGGACCACGGAGCACACAUCAGGAAAAACAGUCGAGACAGCAGCAGCAGUACAGGCAGCAGCAGUACAGCAGCAGCAGUACAGGCAGCAGCAGUACAGCAGCAGUAGUACAGCAGCAGCAGUACAGGCAGCAGCAGUACAGUAGCAGCAGUACAGGCAGCAGCAGUACAGGCAGCAGCAGUACAGCAGCAGCAGUACAGGCAGCAGCAGUACAGGCAGCAGCAGUACAGCAGCAGCAGUACAGGCAGCAGCAGUACAGGCAGCAGUAGUACAGCAGCAGCAGUACAGGCAGCAGCAGUACAGGCAGCAGCAGUACAGCAGCAGCAGUACAGGCAGCAGCAGUACAGGCAGCAGCAGUACAGGUAGAGGUGGCUUUUGGAUUAUGAGUUUCUUUAACUGCCAAGUGCAGACAGAGGUUAGGUUUCAGAUGUCUAUGAGACUGAAGUUCUGGGAUGGGGAAUUCUGGAACAGUCAUAAGGAUGGAAGAGGAAGGCUGAACCAAGGAGACUCCCUGUCACAUUUUAGCAAGGUCAACGCUGUUUUUAAGUUUUGUUAAACUUGGCUUGAUGGUAAAAUUUUCAUUUAUAAGCAUGACUGUAGACAAUUUAAAUUUUUUGUUUAUGGCUAUUGGAUCAUUCGGAUACUUUAAAUGGAGCACAUUGUAGUAGAGGGUAGACAACGUGGGGAAAUUGGCCACCAUGCUAGCGCAGUCUUUGGCCCAGCAGGUGCAUUUGCACAUACUAAUUUGUUUCUAGGAAGGACAGAAGGGAGGCAUGGAAAUCUCAUGUAUCACACACCAAAGCCAGUCCCUCUGCGCAGCUGGAUUAUAUGGGCUGCAACGUGGCUCUCUCCUGCUCUUACCAGAGCGCCUGGAUUCAUAGCCCUUUUCCUGUGCACAAUCAAGUUGGAAGGCAGGGAAUGAUGCCAUAAUUGCUCCUCUUUUAACCAUGGCUGCUUCUUAUCCAUAUCACCCCUUUUAAUACCACUGUACCUUUAAGAAAGGUAUCAAUUGACAAUUUCCAUACCUGAAUACAGUGUUACCUUGGUAAUGUUUACCACCGUACCUCUUUCCAUCUCCCCCAACCCACUGUACCUUAUAGCUGUUUAAAUUCCAGACUACAAGACUCUGCAGUUGCCAUCUUUUCCUUCUUUUCUUCAAACUUGAAAUCUUUCUAUAUUGGAAAAGCCAUUGACGUGUUAAUCUCUCCUAAGCUACACUCUCUUUCAUCUUUGUGCCUUUAUAAAAGUGCAUGGAGACACACAAGCUACCUAUGUCUAGUGAGAAUAAGCUGUCAACAUUGUAGGCUUGCAGGCUAAAAUCUUUUAGGUAUAUCCUCAUGCGUCUGUCCAUUGGCUUCUAUGCCACUCUGCCUCAUGGUUGUUGUGUGUAUAUUUUAACCCCAGCUGCAGGGGUUAGUGUCUGAAAUCUUGGUCCUCUGCUAGAGAGAACAACAAUUUUCCUUUAGGGCUAGGAUAUGAAAUCUCUUCUGGAGUAAGCCUUGGAGUCUGACAGUGGUUUUGAGUCUAUGAACAGUUUUGAAUUUGGGGAGCCAAGCCCUGUCCUGGGUUGUUUCACUUAAGCCCUCUAUUUUCCACAGACUCUGUGUAUUCCUCUUGCUCCCAUUCCAACUGUUCCCACCCAAGAAGGAUGCCUUGUGCUUCUGCACAUUUUACUCAGUCGUAUUGGCCUGUGUGGUAGCCAGAGAUCCGGUUAGAGGACUGGUAAAUGGAAUUAGAGAGGUAUGAGAAAGGAUUUUGCAGAAAUUGGAUGUGCUGCUGUACUCCUGUAAUCCCAGGCCCUGGGAAGUGGGGGCAGGAGGAUCACUACCCAUCCUUAGCUACUUGGUGAGUUUGAUGCCAAACUAUGCCACAUGGGACCAGGUCUCAAACAAAACAAGCUUGCUUUGCGGUUUGCCUACAUCUUAGAAGGCUAUUUAUUCUACUGAUAACAGCAGAAGAAGUUGUACUGGGUAACUAUCUUUUUGUUUUUCCGGCUGUACAAUUUGAAAAAUGUAAUUGAAGGUAAUUUACAGAGUAUCAAGGAGUAGUUUUAUUUUGUUUCAUUUUUGUUUUUCUUAACACAGGAUAAGUACUUAUAUUCUUGGGUCUCUCCAUCCAGAGGCAACCAUUAUUAACAUUCUGUUAUUCUUUUAUCUGUUUUUUGUCCACUUAACAAUAAUAAAAUAAAGCUUAUGCAAUACAGGUGAUGCAGUUUUGCCUGCCUUUCCUGCCCAGUAUUGUUUCAGACAUGUUUCUAAAUUGAUUCUUCAAAACCAAUUAUUUUCAUGGCUGCAUGACUAUACCAUUAUUUAUUUAAUUUUUUCAGUUGUUGAAUACUUAAAUAUUAUAACUAUGUAUAAUAUUAUAAAUAUGCUACAAUAAACUUAUUUCUGUCUAAAUCUUUGUUUUCUGGAUUAUUUUCUUAAAAGAGGAAUUGUUGAGUCAGAAAUUGUAGAAUAUAUUAAAAGCUGUGCUGAUACAUUCCCAAGCUGCUUUCCAGAAAGCUUAUAUCAAUGGACAUAUCCAUCUUAAUGUUUAGAAGUUGAACUUAUAUUAUAAAUGCCUGCCGGGCAUGGUGGCGCACGCCUUUAAUCCCAGC
rnacentral:lncRNA from 1 species